rnacentral:snoRNA from 1 species
CCCCUUUUAAAAGCACUCAGUGGGCCUUUUGCUAGUGACCCAUCAAGCCAUCAAGAAGGGGCAGAAUAAAAACACUCCUUUUUGUGAAGUAGCAACUUGUGUUGUUUUACUUCAAUCAGUGUUGUAAUGAGA